GAUCAUGGCUCAGAUUGAACGCUGGCGGCAGGCCUAACACAUGCAAGUCGAACGGUAACAGGAAGCAGCUUGCUACUUCGCUGACGAGUGGCGGACGGGUGAGUAAUGUCUGGGAAACUGCCUGAUGGAGGGGGAUAACUACUGGAAGCGGUAGCUAAUACCGCAUAACGUCGCAAGACCAAAGAGGGGGACCUUCGGGCCUCUUGCCAUCGGAUGUGCCCAGAUGGGAUUAG
rnacentral:rRNA from 1 species